GUGGCAAGUUUAUUCCGGCCACACGAGUAGUGCAUAGACUAAGACCAGGUACAUGUACUGGAGUGUUUGCCAAUCCGUUAUCGAUGCACGAGGAGCAUUGACGAUAAACCGAUUUUGAAUAAGUUUCUACUCAUUCCCGCAUUGUGACUCUACUGAGCUCCAUACAAAGACAUUCAUUGUGAAUGUGAAUCAUAAACAUGCAUGUUGUUUUUUUUCGUGUCAUAAUUCCCUUUUGUUAUUAUUAAAAUUAAAUGGUGUUAUGAUUUUGUAAUCAAAUAAAAAUUUUACAUUUUUGUUGCAAAACUUUUUUGGCUUAGUAUAUAUUCCAAUUUGAUAUUAUAAAAA
rnacentral:lncRNA from 1 species